rnacentral:lncRNA from 1 species
GGUAGAGUCCUUGGUUUUAUAGUCCCUUUAAGUGAAUUUGGGCCGUCGGAUCAAACCGACAUUGAUUGUAUAGUUUAGAUUGAUCCUUUAGGUCGGUGGAGUUUAGCCCCGAAGCAGAGUUCUGAUCCAACUCCUGGCCAGGUCGGGCGCCCAAGGGGGGUGGGCGGGCGCCCUGCCCCCGAGCCCGAUUCCCUUCUCGUUCGUUCCCGUGGCUUCUGGACUCUUCU